GCGUUUUGGACCCACCUGACUUCCAUGCCGAACUCAGAAGUGAAACGAAAUAGCG
rnacentral:rRNA from 1 species